rnacentral:rRNA from 1 species
GACGUAGGGCGCGAGCGUUGUCCGGAUUUAUUGGGCGUAAAGAGCUCGUAGGCGGCUUGUCGCGUCGACUGUGAAACCCGACGGCUCAACUGUGGGCUUGCGGUCGAUACGGGCAGGCUAGAGUUCGGUAGGGGAGACUGGAAUUCCUGGUGUAGCGGUGAAAUGCGCAGAUAUCAGGAGGAACACCGGUGGCGAAGGCGGGUCUCUGGGCCGAAUACUGACGCUGGAGGAGCGAAA